UGUUUCGGCUAGGGGGCCAUCCCGGCUUACCAACCCGAUGCAAACUGCGAAUACCGGAGAAUGUUAUCACGGGAGACACACGGCGGGUGCUAACGUCCGUCGUGAAGAGGGAAACAACCCAGACCGCCAGCUAAGGUCCCAAAGUCAUGGUUAAGUGGGAAACGAUGUGGGAAGGCCCAGACAGCCAGGAUGUUGGCUUAGAAGCAGCCAUCAUUUAAAGAAAGCGUAAUAGCUCACUGGUCGAGUCGGCCUGCGCGGAAGAUGUAACGGGGCUAAACCAUGCACCGAAGCUGCGGCAGCGACACUCAGGUGUUGUUGGGUAGGGGAGCGUUCUGUAAGCCUGUGAAGGUGUGUCGUGAGGCAUGCUGGAGGUAUCAGAAGUGCGAAUGCUGACAUAAGUAACGAUAAAGCGGGUGAAAAGCCCGCUCGCCGGAAGACCAAGGGUUCCUGUCCAACGUUAAUCGGGGCAGGGUGAGUCGACCCCUAAGGCGAGGCCGAAAGGCGUAGUCGAUGGGAAACGGGUUAAUAUUCCCGUACUUGGUGUUACUGCGAAGGGGGGACGGAGAAGGCUAUGUUGGCCGGGCGACGGUUGUCCCGGUUUAAGCGUGUAGGUGUGUGUUCCAGGUAAAUCCGGUUCACUUUAACACUGAGGCGUGACGACGAGGCACUACGGUGCUGAAGCAACAAAUGCCCUGCUUCCAGGAAAAGCCUCUAAGCAUCAGGUAACAUCAAAUCGUACCCCAAACCGACACAGGUGGUCAGGUAGAGAAUACCAAGGCGCUUGAGAGAACUCGGGUGAAGGAACUAGGCAAAAUGGUGCCGUAACUUCGGGAGAAGGCACGCUGACAC
rnacentral:rRNA from 1 species